rnacentral:rRNA from 1 species
AUUGAACGCUGGCGGCAGGCCUAACACAUGCAAGUCGAGCGGUUGAAGGGAGCUUGCUCCCUGAUUCAGCGGCGGACGGGUGAGUAAUGCCUAGGAAUCUGCCUAUUAGUGGGGGACAACGUUUCGAAAGGAACGCUAAUACCGCAUACGUCCUACGGGAGAAAGCAGGGGACCUUCGGGCCUUGCGCUAAUAGAUGAGGCUAGGUCGGAUUAGCUAGUUGGUGAGGUAAUGGCUCACCAAGGCGACGAUCCGUAACUGGUCUGAGAGGAUGAUCAGUCACACUGGAACUGAGACACGGUCCAGACUCCUACGGGAGGCAGCAGUGGGGAAUAUUGGACAAUGGGCGAAAGCCUGAUCCAGCCAUGCCGCGUGUGUGAAGAAGGUCUUCGGAUUGUAAAGCACUUUAAGUUGGGAGGAAGGGUUGUAGAUUAAUACUCUGCAAUUUUGACGUUACCGACAGAAUAAGCACCGGCUAACUCUGUGCCAGCAGCCGCCGUAAAAC